GACGUAGGGUGCGAGCGUUUGUCCGGAUUUAUUGGGCGUAAAGAGCUCGUAGGCGGCUCGUCGCGUCGACCGUGAAAACCCGGCAGCUUAACUGCGGGCCUGCGGUUGAUACGGGCGGGCUAGAGUUCGGGUAGGGGAGACUGGAAUUCCUGGUGUAGCGGUGAAAUGCGCAGAUAUCAGGAGGAACACCGGUGGCGAAGGCGGGUCUCUGGGCCGAUACUGACGCUGAGGAGCGAAAGCGUGGGGAGCAAACAGG
rnacentral:rRNA from 1 species